UACGAAGGGGGCUAGCGUUGUUCGGAAUCACUGGGCGUAAAGGGCGCGUAGGCGGCUUUAUAAGUCGGGGGUGAAAGCCUGUGGCUCAACCACAGAAUUGCCUUCGAUACUGUAGAGCUUGAGACCGGAAGAGGUAAGUGGAACUGCGAGUGUAGAGGUGAAAUUCGUAGAUAUUCGCAAGAACACCAGUGGCGAAGGCGGCUUACUGGUCCGGUUCUGACGCUGAGGCGCGAAAGCGUGGGGAGCAAACCGG
rnacentral:rRNA from 1 species